rnacentral:lncRNA from 1 species
UGGAAGCUUUGGAUUUGUGGACUUACUGCAAUACAUUGAGAGUUUAGAAUUUCUUGUGAAAUUGGAUAUCAUGCUGUAUCCUGGUCACAUUUGUAAGAAAAUAAGCAUAUGUGUACACAUAACACACUAAAUUAAUUAGUAAAUCAUCGACUCAAGUAUAUUUGCUUCUAUUUACUUUCAGUAUUAUAGAGCAGCAAGCAAUAAAUAGCUUGAGAAUAUUAACUUUACAGAAUAUAAUAAAUAUGAACAAGAGAGAAAAUAUAUAAACAUUAUGACAAUAGUGUAUAUUUGCUGAAGUAUUUGUUUGUCUUUGGAAAGGUAUAGAAAUUGAACAAAAAAAAAUAGCCCUGAAUAUUGACAGACUUUAUCCCACCAUAUUUACUGAUCAUAUUAUAAAAUUUUUAUAGUUCAGUAUGAUUUAAUCAAUAACUUGUGUUGUAUCUGUCCACCAGACAAGUGGGAUUGAAUCAAUUUUAACAGCUUUAUUGCAGUAUAUCCAUGCUGUUGUGUCCACCAUUUAAUAUACACAGUUCAGUGGAUGUUUGUGCAUUUAUAGAAUUCUGCAGCCGUCAUCAUAAUCUAAUUGUAGAACAUUUAUAUCAUCACUAAGAGACAUCUUGUGUCCAUUAGCACUGCCCCUGGAGUUCAUCUUCUGCUCACUUGCUUCUCUCAGUAUAGCAUUCGAGUGUCAUACUACAAGAACUUUCAAUGUUUCUAGUCAGACAGCUAGGAUGCUUUUCUUUGUUUGUUGGCAAAUAUAAUGGGAGUGGUAUGUAUAUUUUUGUCCUUUGUUCUUGCCUAUUUUUCUACUGCAGGUCUUCAAGAGAAGAUCUUUUGGCUUCCAUUCUAAUUUAUUUCUUCAGUGUAUGCAUGUUUUAGAGUUGGUUCUUAAAAUGCCAGUUUUUUUCUGAUUUGUGUAAAAAUGCAAUAAAUGGGAUUUCAGGGGGUGGUUUUUGUAUUUGGGGGGUAGGAUGGUGCAAAGUGACCCCCCCCCCUUUUCCUUCCAGUCUUUACCCUGGGAGACCUGUUUUCACAUGUAUUUAUAUAUCCCAUCAAUUAUUCUCAGAACAACUUGGGUAUCUCGUCUGUGUAGAGAGUUAUCCUCUGAGCCCAGGAGCUUGACUGCACCAUUGUGUUUCAUUGUUUGGCCUCCUUGCUUACAGAUCCUUAAAGCUCUAGAGUUUAACUUACUCAUAAUCUCCUUUUCACUAAUAUUGCUCUACUGUCACUAAAGUUAUCGACAAUUCUAAAUCAUUGAAGAUUUCUGAAAGACAGGAGGCUUCUCUUCCAACUUCUGCUCUUCUUGUCUUGUACCAGUGCUUCUGACAACCACCCUUGACUGCUUUUCUCUAUGACUCCACUUCUCCUAUACCACCUGAUUCCCACAUUACACUCCACCCAGCCUCCUCGUCAGCCUUUAAAUGACUUCAUCUUUUAAAGUAUUAACUUCUGUUUUAAUUAACUCUGUGAAGAAUCCAGCCCAUUUUUAAAUGAUAAGUCAGAAUUUGCAGUUAAAUAUCAAGGAGAAUAAUCCUCCAAUGAUUUUAGUUAUAUUUUUCAGACUGAUAUAUAUAUAUUCAAGGUAGCAAACACCAUAUAGCCCUCUUUAAGGCCUCAGAUAUGUUUUUCACAUUUUGUGUGGCUUCUAGGUUUAGUGUGUCUUUAAUUUGGAAUACGUAAUAAGCUAAAUAUAGACUUUUAAAUGUUUUACCUGUAAACAUCAACCAGCUUUACUGCAGUCCGCAGAUAUUUUGAUAUGGUUGUAUAGUAAUUAUCAAUAUUUUCUAAAACUGAUGGGCGAUUGUGUUUCCUUUGUUAAGUCAACCAAGAAUUAUAUUUUGUAAAAAUAUACUAUUGGCUCAGACUCAGUUGAAACAAUGUGGCUUAUUAUCAACAAUAAGCAGAUUCUUUAAAGUCAAAUGCCUUAUUUAUUCACUUUUUAAAGGCAUGUACAUAUUUUUACUCUUGGAUAUAAUCAGUGGCUUUUUAAUGCUUAGUGCUCUGCUAAAGAGCUUCUGUAAUUUCAUUUUAUUUCAUCUGUCAAGGUUAGUGAUCGUGAUGGUUUUAAGGUACCCUCUAGCCUUUUCCCUCCCUCAGCUGAGCUGAAUUGCGACUACUUUGUAGUAAGUUUGUUACACAGUCUGUAGACACUGGUGAGAAUCAGUAUGGCCACUGGCUUAUUAGUUUCACAGAUGCUUCCAUAAUACUUAGUGCACUCUUGGGUAUAUUAAAUUAUCAUAUCGUGACAGCAGUCCUGAAACAUGCCAGUCUUAUAAAGCCGCAUUUCUGAGAGUUAGAGCCAGGCUUCAGUGAACCAUAGCUGACAUGCCAUGUUAAUUUCCAUAACUAUCAUUACCAGGGGUGGCAGUAUUUCGAAGACAUGAAAAAUCUUAAUAAAUCUACCCAGU